rnacentral:rRNA from 5 species
AGUAACGGCGAGUGAACAGGGAAAAGCCCAAAUUUGUAAUCUGGCACUUUUUACAAGUGUCCGAGUUGUAAUUUGUAGAGCUGUUAUCCGUACUGGACCAUGUACAAGUCUGUUGAAAAGCAGCAUCAUUGAAGGUGAAAAUCCUGUAGAUGAUAUGGACUACCAGUAUAUUUGUGAUACGGUUUCUAAGAGUCGAGUUGUUUGGGAAUGCAGCUCAAAGUGGGUGGUAAAUUCCAUCUAAGGCUAAAUAUAAGUGAGAGACCGAUAGCAAACAAGUACCGUGAGGGAAAGAUGAAAAGAACUUUGAAAAUAGAGUUAACAGUACGUGAAAUUGCUGAAAGGGAAACGUUUGAAGUUAGUUUUGUAUUCGUUGGAUCAGCUUCGCAAGGAGUGUAUUCUGAUGAUAAGCAAGUCAACAUCAGUCUAUGAGUGUUGGAUAAGGGUUUUGAGAAUGUAGCAAUUUAAUUGUGUUAUAGCUUGAGACUUGGAUACAAUGCUUUGGAUUGAGGAACGCGUAGUAAGCUUUGAGCGGAUUCGAAAGGAUCUCCUUACUAUGGAUGU